GGGAAGGUGGCUCAGUGGGAGAGUGCUUGCUUUGCAUGCAUGAGGCCGUGGGUUCGAUUCCUCAGUACCA
rnacentral:tRNA from 1 species